ACGCUGGCGGCAGGCCUAACACAUGCAAGUCGAGCGGUAGAGAGAAGCUUGCUUCUCUUGAGAGCGGCGGACGGGUGAGUAAUGCCUAGGAAUCUGCCUGGUAGUGGGGGAUAACGUUCGGAAACGGACGCUAAUACCGCAUACGUCCUACGGGAGAAAGCAGGGGACCUUCGGGCCUUGCGCUAUCAGAUGAGCCUAGGUCGGAUUAGCUAGUUGGUGAGGUAAUGGCUCACCAAGGCGACAAUCCGUAACUGGUCUGAGAGGAUGAUCAGUCACACUGGAACUGAGACACGGUCCAGACUCCUACGGGAGGCAGCAGUGGGGAAUAUUGGACAAUGGGCGAAAGCCUGAUCCAGCCAUGCCGCGUGUGUGAAGAAGGUCUUCGGAUUGUAAAGCACUUUAAGUUGGGAGGAAGGGCAGUUACCUAAUACGUGAUUGUUUUGACGUUACCGACAGAAUAAGCACCGGCUAACUCUGUGCCAGCAGCCGCGGUAAUACAGAGGGUGCAAGCGUUAAUCGGAAUUACUGGGCGUAAAGCGCGCGUAGGUGGUUAGUUAAGUUGGAUGUGAAAUCCCCGGGCUCAACCUGGGAACUGCAUUCAAAACUGACUGACUAGAGUAUGGUAGAGGGUGGUGGAAUUUCCUGUGUAGCGGUGAAAUGCGUAGAUAUAGGAAGGAACACCAGUGGCGAAGGCGACCACCUGGACUGAUACUGACACUGAGGUGCGAAAGCGUGGGGAGCAAAC
rnacentral:rRNA from 1 species